rfam:Brachypodium distachyon strain Bd21 chromosome 2, whole genome shotgun sequence.
AAUAUACUCUCUCCGUUCAACAAAGGAUGUAUCAAUUUUGACAAAAAAUUGAAUGCAUGUAUACACUAAGUCAUGCUAGAUACAUCCAAAUUAAGACAAAUUAAGACAUCCUUUGUUGGACGGAAGGAGUAUCUU